UUUAGGCUCGGAGUCCAUGUUUCUAUCCUCAUCACUGUGUUCAAUCGUUCAAUUAAGAGGUUUCUUUUGGACACCAUUGUUGUUAGGAUUCAUUGGCUCUUAUUUUUCUCUUUUUUUUUUCAUGCGCUCUUUUGAGCAUGCAUUUUGCCAACCUCAAUAUUUCUAGAUAAGUGCUUUGUUUUACUUCUCAUAUUUUUUUUCAUUUCUUU
rnacentral:lncRNA from 1 species